ensembl:miRNA MIR216A microRNA 216a
UAAUCUCAGCUGGCAACUGUGAGAUGUUCAUAAAUCCCCACAGUGGUCUCUGGGAUUA